rnacentral:rRNA from 1 species
GACGAACGCUGGCGGCGUGCUUAACACAUGCAAGUCGAGCGAGGCCCUCUCCUUCGGGAGAGGUGCCCUAGCGGCGAACGGGUGAGUAACACGUGAGCAAUCUGCCCCGAACUCUGGGAUAACUGCGGGAAACCGCAGCUAAUACCGGAUACGACCCAAGGAGGCAUCUCCAUUGGGUGGAAAGUUUUUCGGUUCGGGAUGAGCUCGCGGCCUAUCAGCUUGUUGGUGGGGUAAUGGCCUACCAAGGCGACGACGGGUAGCCGGCCUGAGAGGGCGA